rnacentral:rRNA from 1 species
ACCUGCGGAAGGAUCAUUACCGAAUUGUCAACACGGGUUGUUGCUGGCCCUCGAUGGGGGCAUGUGCACGCUCUGUUUGCAUCCACUCACACCUGUGCACCCUCUGUAGUUCUAUGGUCUGGGGGACCCUGUCUUCCACCUGUGGUUCUACGUUUUUACACACACACUGUAACAUGGUCUUAUGGAAUGUAUGCAGCGUUUAACGCAAUAUAAUACAACUUUCAGCAACGGAUCUCUUGGCUCUCGCAUCGAUGAAGAACGCAGCGAAAUGCGAUAAGUAAUGUGAAUUGCAGAAUUCAGUGAAUCAUCGAAUCUUUGAACGCACCUUGCGCCCUUUGGCUAUUCCGAAGGGCAUGCCUGUUUGAGUAUCAUGAACACCUCAACUCUCAUGGUUUGCCGUGAUGAGCUUGGACUUUGGAGGCUUUGCUGGCCUGUGGCCCGGCUCCUCUGAAAUGAAUUAGCCUACCAGUGUAUGGUGGCAUCACAGGUGUGAUAAAUAUCUAUGCUUGUGGUUGUCUGCCAGGCGACCUCCUGUAUUGGAGGUUUGCUGGGGCUCAUAAAUGUCUCCUCAGCGAGGACAGCUUUCUGAACGUUUGAUCUCAAAUCAGGUAGGACUACCCGCUGAACUUAAGCAUAUCAAUAAGCGGAGGA